rnacentral:rRNA from 1 species
GAGUUUGAUCAUGGCUCAGAGUGAACGCUGGCGGCAGGCCUAACACGUGCAAGUCGAGCGGCAGCGGGCCCUUCGGGGUGCCGGCGAGCGGCGGACGGGUGAGUAAGGCAUCGGAAUCUGCCCUGUCGUGGGGGAUAACGUAGGGAAACUUACGCUAAUACCGCAUACGACCUCCGGGUGAAAGUGGGGGACCCUUCGGGGCCUCACGCGGCAGGAUGAGCCGAUGUCCGAUUAGCUUGUUGGUGAGGUAACGGCUCACCAAGGCGACGAUCGGUAGCUGGUCUGAGAGGAUGAUCAGCCACACUGGGACUGAGACACGGCCCAGACUCCUACGGGAGGCAGCAGUGGGGAAUAUUGGACAAUGGGGGCAACCCUGAUCCAGCCAUGCCGCGUGUGUGAAGAAGGCCUUCGGGUUGUAAAGCACUUUUGUACGGGAAGAAAGCGCGCCGGCCAAUACCCGGCGUGGAUGACGGUACCGUAAGAAUAAGCACCGGCUAACUUCGUGCCAGCAGCCGCGGUAAUACGAAGG